UACGAAGGGGGCAAGCGUUGUUCGGAUUUACUGGGCGUAAAGGGCGCGUAGGCGGCCAGUGCAAGUCAGUUGUGAAAUCUCCGAGCUUAACUCGGAAAGGUCAACUGAUACUGCUCGGCUAGAGUGCGGAAGGGGCAACUGGAAUUCCUGGUGUAGCAGUGAAAUGCGUAGAUAUCAGGAGGAAUACCGAUGGCGAAGGCAGGUCUCUGGGCUGACACUGACGCUCAUGCACGAAAGCGUGGGGAGCAAACAGG
rnacentral:rRNA from 1 species